CAGGGCCUGGCUGAGGGAAGUACCAUGG
rnacentral:piRNA from 1 species